ACUCCUACGGGAGGCAGCAGAGGGGAAUAUUGCACAAUGGGGGAAACCCUGAUGCAGCCAUGCCGCGUGUGUGAAGAAGGCCUUCGGGUUGUAAAGCACUUUCAGUAGGGAGGAAGGUAGUGUAGUUAACACCUGCAUUAUUUGACGUUACCUACAGAAGAAGCACCGGCUAACUCCGUGCCAGCAGCCGCGGUAAUACGGAGGGUGCGAGCGUUAAUCGGAAUUACUGGGCGUAAAGCGCAUGCAGGCGGCCUGUUAAGUCAGAUGUGAAAGCCCGGGGCUUAACCUCGGAAUUGCAUUUGAAACUGGCAGGCUAGAGUCUUGUAGAGGGGGGUAGAAUUUCAGGUGUAGCGGUGAAAUGCGUAGAGAUCUGAAGGAAUACCAGUGGCGAAGGCGGCCCCCUGGACAAAGACUGACGCUCAGAUGCGAAAGCGUGGGGAGCAAACAGGAUUAGAUACCCUGGUAGCACAGAG
rnacentral:rRNA from 1 species